UACGGAGGGUGCAAGCGUUAUCCGGAUUCACUGGGUUUAAAGGGUGCGUAGGUGGACUAUUAAGUCAGUGGUGAAAGCUUGCAGCUUAACUGUAAAAUUGCCAUUGAAACUGAUAGUCUCGAGUACGGUUGAGGUAGCUGGAAUGUAUCAUGUAGCGGUGAAAUGCUUAGAUAUGAUACAGAACACCAAUUGCGAAGGCAGGCUACUAAACCGUAACUGACACUGAGGCACGAAAGCGUGGGGAUCAAACAGG
rnacentral:rRNA from 1 species